CCUAUUUGACUCCAAAAAUCUUUAUCCUACCCCCCCUUUUCGUUAGCG
rnacentral:tRNA from 1 species